rnacentral:rRNA from 1 species
GACGAACGCUGGCGGCGUGCUUAACACAUGCAAGUCGAACGGAAAGGCCCUGCUUUUGUGGGGUGCUCGAGUGGCGAACGGGUGAGUAACACGUGAGUAACCUGCCCUUGACGUUGGGAUAACGUCAGGAAACUGGGGCUAAUACCGGAUAGGAGCUCCUGCUGCAUGGUGGGGGUUGGAAAGUUUCGGCGGUUGGGGAUGGACUCGCGGCUUAUCAGCUUGUUGGUGGGGUAGUGGCUUACCAAGGCUUUGACGGGUAGCCGGCCUGAGAGGGUGACCGGCCACAUUGGGACUGAGAUACGGCCCAGACUCCUACGGGAGGCAGCAGUGGGGAAUAUUGCACAAUGGGCGGAAGCCUGAUGCAGCAACGCCGCGUGCGGGAUGACGGCCUUCGGGUUGUAAACCGCUUUCGCCUGUGACGAAGCGUGAGUGACGGUAAUGGGUAAAGAAGCACCGGCUAACUACGUG